rnacentral:rRNA from 1 species
UACGGAGGGUGCAAGCGUUAAUCGGAAUUACUGGGCGUAAAGCGUGCGUAGGCGGUUUGUUAAGUCAGAUGUGAAAGCCCUGGGCUCAACCUGGGAACUGCAUUUGAUACUGGCAGGCUAGAGUAUGGUAGAGGGAAGUGGAAUUCCGGGUGUAGCGGUGAAAUGCGUAGAUAUCCGGAGGAACACCAGUGGCGAAGGCGACUUCCUGGACCAAUACUGACGCUGAGGUACGAAAGCGUGGGUAGCAAACAGG